UCUGCUCCUAGACACGUUGCAGGUGUGGCUGUUGUGUCACUUGUGUGUCAGUAGGUGGCAGAGGGGAGAGAGACUGUGUCUACACUCAGUGUUCUAAUCUGUGAAGAUCUGAAUGAUUAGCAGCCUAGCAUU
ensembl:snoRNA